rnacentral:rRNA from 1 species
GUUAUAGGGUCAAGCGAACAAGUGCAUGUGGUGGAUGCCUUGGCGAUCACAGGCGAUGAAGGACGCGGUAGCCUGCGAAAAGCUACGGGGAGCUGGCAAACGAGCUUUGAUCCGUAGAUGUCCGAAUGGGGAAACCCACUCCUUUUGGAGUAUCCAUGGCUGAAUACAUAGGCCAUGCGAAGCGAACGCGGUGAACUGAAACAUCUAAGUAACCGCAGGAAAAGAAAUCAACCGAGAUUCCCAAAGUAGUGGCGAGCGAAAUGGGAUGAGCCUUGCACUCUUUAUUUGUAUUGUUAGCCGAACGCUCUGGAAAGUGCGGCCAUAGCAGGUGAUAGCCCUGUAGGCGAAAACAGUAUGAAAGAACUAGGUGUGCGACAAGUAGGGCGGGACACGUGAAAUCCUGUCUGAAGAUGGGGGACCAUCCUCCAAGGCUAAAUACUCGUGAUCGACCGAUAGUGAACCAGUACCGUGAGGGAAAGGCGAAAAGAACCCCGGGAGGGGAGUGAAAUAGAUCCUGAAACCGCAUGCAUACAAACAGUCGGAGCCUCGUAAGGGGUGACGGCGUACCUUUUGUAUAAUGGGUCAGCGACUUACGUUCAGUAGCAAGCUUAACCGUAUAGGGCAGGCGUAGCGAAAGCGAGUCCGAAUAGGGCGUUCAGUUGCUGGGCGUAGACCCGAAACCAGGUGAUCUAUCCAUGGCCAGGAUGAAGGUGCGGUAACACGUACUGGAGGUCCGAACCCACUAACGUUGAAAAGUUAGGGGAUGAGCUGUGGAUAGGGGUGAAAGGCUAAACAAACCUGGAAAUAGCUGGUUCUCUCCGAAAACUAUUUAGGUAGUGCCUCGUGUCUCACCUUCGGGGGUAGAGCACUGUCAUGGUUGGGGGGUCUAUUGCAGAUUACCCCGCCAUAGCAAACUCCGAAUACCGAAGAGUGCAAUCACGGGAGACAGACAUCGGGUGCUAACGUCCGGUGUCAAGAGGGAAACAACCCAGACCGCCAGCUAAGGUCCCCAAAUAUAGCUAAGUGGGAAACGAAGUGGGAAGGCUAAAACAGUCAGGAGGUUGGCUUAGAAGCAGCCACCCUUUAAAGAAAGCGUAAUAGCUCACUGAUCGAGUCGUCCUGCGCGGAAGAUGUAACGGGGCUAAGCUAUAUACCGAAGCUGCGGAUGCGAGCUUGCUCGCAUGGUAGGAGAGCGUUCCGUAAGCCUGCGAAGGUGCCUUGUAAAGGGUGCUGGAGGUAUCGGAAGUGCGAAUGCUGACAUGAGUAGCGAUAAAGGGGGUGAAAGGCCCCUCGCCGUAAGCCCAAGGUUUCCUACGCAACGUUCAUCGGCGUAGGGUGAGUCGGCCCUAAGGCGAGGCAGAAAUGCGUAGCUGAUGGGAAGCAGGUCAAUAUUCCUGCACCAUUGUUAGAUGCGAUGGGGGACGGAUCGCGAAGGUUGUCCGGGUGUUGGAAGUCCCGGUCGCUGCA